rnacentral:rRNA from 1 species
GACCCCGCACAAGCGGCGGAGCAUGCGGCUUAAUUCGAUGCAACGCGAAAAACCUUACCUACUCUUGACAUACUUGGGAGCUCUUGUAAUGAGAGUGUGCCUUUUGGAACCAAGAUACAGGUGCUGCAUGGCUGUCGUCAGCUCGUGUCGUGAGAUGUUCCGUUAAGUCGGAUAACGAGCGCAACCCUUACCCUUAUUUGCCAGCGAUUCGGUCGGGAACUAUAAGGGGACUGCCGGUGAUAAACCGGAGGAAGGUGAGGACGACGUCAAGUCAUCAUGGCCCUUACGAGUAGGGCUACACACGUGCUACAAUGGGGAAUACAGACGGACGCUAAGCCGCGAGGUGGUGCU